rfam:Pteropus alecto contig168973, whole genome shotgun sequence.
GGCUCCAUAGUUUAGCGGUUAGCACGUCUGCUUUACACACAGAAGGUCCUGGGUUCGCGCCCCAGGUGGCACCA